rnacentral:rRNA from 1 species
AUGGAAGAGGAAGGCUAUAGCACCGAAUCGUCCAAUGAAGGAGACGUGCAAGAAGAUGGUGACAAGGAGAAAAGCCUUGCUGAGGGCGAUGUCUUUAAGCCGGUUGAUAUGGAUCCAGAAUGGAUACCUAAAGUAGGGAUGGUCUUCGACUCAGAGGAAGACGCCUUUCAGUUCUAUGUCGCAUAUGGAUGCCGCUCUGGUUUCGGUAUCACAAGGAGAUCUAACAACACCUUUGAUGGUUUCCGCUACCGCUCUACCUUCAUAUGCUCUAAGGGAGGGCAAUCUAGGCUGAGAUCUGGAGUGACAAGGCCUGCAAGAAAGCGAGGCACAAAGACUGGCUGCAAGGCUAAGAUCAUUGUCAAGGACGCCCAUUUUCAGAAUCGCUGGGAAGUUAUUGUUCUCGAGUUGGAGCAUAACCAUCCCCUGGACCCCGGUUCGAUUAAAUAUAAGAAAAAUUUAGAGAACAUCCCUUUCUCUCUAAAUCCACCUCGUUUGUCUGAGGCGCCACAGAGUAGCUCAGUUGUUGGACAUUCUAGUAGUUUUGGAGAUAGUGGCAUACCUUCAUCUGCCCAGAUUGAAAUCAAGACCAAGAUAGACAGAAAUAGGAAACUGAAGCUUGCUGAAGGAGAUUUAGAGGCAUUAGUGAGUUUUUUCAACGACAUGCAAGACCGGAACCCGUGUUUCUUUCACAGUUUAGACAUGAAUGAGCAAGGACAGCUAAGGAAUGUCUUCUGGGCUGAUGCCAAAUCACGUAGUUCCUACAAUUACUUUGGUGAUGUGGUUGCUAUUAAUGUCACAAACUUCAGUGAUCAGUAUGAUAUACAGUUUGUGUCAUUUGUGGGCACUAACCACCACGCUCAACCACUGUUACUAGGGUGUGGUUUGCUUGCUGGUAGAUCUCUUGGAGCUUACGUGUGGCUUUUUGAUACAUGCUUAAGAUGCAUGAAUGCCAUGUCACCACCUUCAAUAAUUACCAACUAUUGUCAUGAUGUUGCAAUAGCUGUUAAAAAGGUUUUCCCCAAUUCACGGCACCGCUUUUGCCUUCGGCACAUUUUAAAUGAGCUUCCUGAGAAGUUGGCCGGAAUGGAAAACAAGGAUGAAAUGAUUUCUACUUUCAGCACAUUGGCCUAUGACUCAGUUACUGCUCUUGAUUUUGACAAAGAGUGGCAAGAAAUGACACAUCAAUUUCAGUUGGAGGGAAAUGAAUGGCUGUCCAAAUUAUACGAGGUCAGGGCACAGUGGGCUCCUGCUUAUGUGAAGGAUUUUUUUUGGGCGGGAAUGUCCGUCACAGACAGAAGUGACAGUGCAACUGACUAUUUUGAUGGGUGGUUGACGUCUGGUACGUCUGUGAAAAUGUUUGUUGAGCAGUAUGAGGCAGCUGUCAGAACUAAGUUAGAAAAGGAAACCUACGAGGAUUUGCAAUCGUCUCAGAUGAGGCCACAGUUGAUGACUGGAUUGCCUGUGGAGGAGCAAGCAGCAAAGAUGUACACAAUGGAGAUAUUUCAAACUUUCUUGAAUGAAUUAGGGCAUUCAUUUCACUGCAACUAUAGUAUACUUGAUCGGAGUGAUUCAGUAGUUACAUACAUACUAUCAGAGCAUGUAAAUCAAACAAAGGUGGACUUCAAAGUUGCUUAUGACAAUGCUGAAGAUGAUAUAUGGUGCUUCUGCCGCUUGUUUCAAUUUAAAGGUAUAUUGUGCAGACAUGCUCUCACUGUACUGAGGCAGGAGCUUGUACCGAUGAUUCCAUCAAAAUACAUCAUUCAUCGCUGGUGCAAGGAUUGUAAACUAACUUGUUCUUCCAUGUCCCGGGACGUCUCAUUAAGUACUCAGGAAUUGGGAGGUUAUGAUGAUCUCUACAAACUAGGCCACCAAUACUUUGCAGAAGUUGUGGAACUGGGUUCUGUGAACUCAGAAUCAAAAGAUUACGCUUUGUCAGUCAUGAGGGAGAUCAGGGAUAAAGUGAUUUCUUAUGAGAAGUCACUGAGAGAUCAAAGGGUUGACAGCCAAGUUUCAACUGCCAACUUUGCAUAUAAUCCAGUGAAUGAGGAUUUCACUGAUGAUGCAUUACCCAUUUCUCUUAGUACGAAGGGCUGGGAUCUCAUGCAAGGUCAGUCAAAACGUUCUCGCAAGAAGAAACUGACGACACCAACAGUUCUUGAUACCCUGAAAAAGAAAACUAAAAGGGCCUAUAACAAGAGGAGGAAUGCCACCGCGAACAACCUAUGCACAACGGUCACCGCAACUGACAGCAUAACAGAAAGCGCAAAUGUUCAGGAAGAUCAAGUAAAUGAGGGAUGGCCAUUAACAUCUAGUGGUGCACCAGAUACCUUCCCAUACGGAGUGGAGACCAUAUCUUUCGAUUUGACACAAUACAACAAUGCGCCAAGCUUCCAUUGGCCUGAAAGCAGCAGCAGAUCUCAGCUUCAGUGA